rnacentral:rRNA from 1 species
CGCGAAGAACCUUACCUAAGCUUGACAUCCUUUUGACCUCUCCCUAAUCGGAGAUUUCCCUUCGGGGACAGAAGUGACAGGUGGUGCAUGGUUGUCGUCAGCUCGUGUCGUGAGAUGUUGGGUUAAGUCCCGCAACGAGCGCAACCCUUGCCUUUAGUUGCCAGCAUUAAGUUGGGCACUCUAGAGGGACUGCCAGGGAUAACCUGGAGGAAGGUGGGGAUGACGUCAAAUCAUCAUGCCCCUUAUGCUUAGGGCUACACACGUGCUACAAUGGGUGGUACAGAGGGCAGCCAAGUUGUGAGGCGGAGCUAAUCCCUUAAAGCCAUUCUCAGUUCGGAUUGUAGGCUGAAACUCGCCUACAUGAAGCUGGAGUUACUAGUAAUCGCAGAUCAGAAUGCUGCGGUGAAUGCGUUCCCGGGUCUUGUACACACC